rnacentral:rRNA from 1 species
GAGUUUGAUCAUGGCUCAGGACGAACGCUGGCGGCGUGCUUAACACAUGCAAGUCGAGCGAGGAGCUUGCUCCUAGCGGCGAACGGGUGAGUAACACGUGGGCAACCUGCCCUUGGCUCUGGGAUAACUCCGGGAAACCGGGGCUAAUACCGGAUACGACCACUGACGACAUCUUCUGGUGGUGGAAAGAAUUUCGGCCAAGGAUGGGCCCGCGGCCUAUCAGCUUGUUGGUGGGGUAAUGGCCUACCAAGGCGACGACGGGUAGCCGGCCUGAGAGGGCGACCGGCCACACUGGGACUGAGACACGGCCCAGACUCCUACGGGAGGCAGCAGUGGGGAAUAUUGCGCAAUGGGCGAAAGCCUGACGCAGCGACGCCGCGUGAGGGAUGAAGGCCUCGGUU